rnacentral:lncRNA from 1 species
CCCCCUCAAUACCCUCCUCCCCCCUCACCUCCUCUCCAUGGUAUCACCCUCCUCCCCCCCUCAUCACCCUCCUCCCCCCUCACCUACUCUCCAUGAUAUCACAUUUGAUCUUUGCAACAAUGAGACAAUAAUAAGGCAUCGAUACUGUUUAUUUUAGAGUAUAAUUAGUUCCAUUGCCGUUAUUUCUAUAGUUUGGAGUUGAUGAUUCUGAUUGAAUAUUGUCUGAUGGUUCGGAUGUGUUCAGAGCAUAAGGUCUGAAUCCUGCUGUGAUGACUCCUUCCCUUGGGGAAAAGACUGUCACGUGUUCCUUACACACAGACACAGUAAUGCCAAUAACUUUUUCACACUUCAACAGUUCCACUGUUCAGCUUGGUUUUAUAACUAUUUUAGUUCAUUUAAGUUUUAAAAAAUAUAUAUUUUUUAGUUCACAACACUGCAUAUUUUAGUAAUUCAAAUCCAGUGUACAAAACCAUUUCUGUUUUAUAUGUCUAAAUAUACAAGAGACAAAUAUAGUUGAUUUAUAGAUUUGAAGAACGUGCCACUUUAUUGUUGCAGAGGAGGAUGGAUGAGAUUUGUAAUAUUUUUUUCUGGUUGGUUGUAAUUAUAUUUAUACGUCGGAUCUUCUGCAGUUCCCCUUCUGCACUCGAAUGGCAACAUAUUCCCUAUGGAGUGCACUACUUUGUAUCCGGGCCUAUAGGACUCUGUUCAAAGGGAGUGCACUACUUUGUAUCAGGGCCUAUAGGACUCUGUUCAAACGGAGUGCACUACUUAGUAAGGAACAAGGUGCCGUUUCGGACCCAAACCCUGUCGCACUGUUGUCGCCCGACACACACGUGAAUGUUUUGGCUUUAAAAAAAGAGAUGCUUAGUUUUUGUUUUCUAUUGCUGAGAAGAGAAAAGAUAUAUUUAAAAAAUGUUUUCAGACCGAGGUUUGGUUUUUAGAAGUCUAUUUUACGACUAGUUGGUUUUGGGGUGUCCUGGGAACAGAAAGACAAAGGGAUAGGAUAGCACAUGUAAAAAGCAAUAAGCAGAUGCUUUUGUUUAAGGAUGUCUCCCAAAUGGCACCCUGCUUCCUAUCAAGCGCCCUACUUUUGACCACAUCCCCUAUGGGCCAUGGCACCCUAUUCCCUAAAUAGCCCUAUGGUCCCUGGUUAAAAGUAGUACACUAUAUAGGGAAAAUAGUGUCAUUUGGGAAACGGAAUAGUUUUAGUGUACAAACUGUAAUUACCAAAAUUAAGUUCUUUGUGUAUAUAGUGUAUGGUGUGUUUAUCGGGGGGUUGAAACCGGUUCAGGGAACAGAACCGAAAACUGGAAAAUAACAACAUUUUUCGAGGGAACGAGAACCGAGAAUGAAAGUGAUCUAUUCUGUUCCGGAACAGAACCAUUAUUUUAAAAGCAUGGGAACCGGUUAAUAAAAUGAUUUCAUGUUCAGGGCAUUUUUUUUUCCAGUCCCACAAAAAAAAGCGCAACAAAGCACCUAUUGUAUGCAAAGCCCUCACCUGUCACUCAGAAACGUAUUCCAGUGUCUGGCUUCCUGCUGCCUUCCUGCUGCCUUCCUGCUGCCUUCCUGCUGCCUUCCUGCCUCCUUCCUGCUGCCUUCCUGCCGCCUUCCUGCCAACUGAAAAUCUUUGCCAGUGUGUAGGCUAUCUGCCCUUCCCCCUCCCUCCAAAGCAUAAUCUACUGUAGCUACUGACGUUACAGGCAGGCGUGAUUCAGAAAUUAAAGGGAAAAUAUUUUUUAUUAGAGAACAGUGGAUUCAUUUUUUUCAAUGCUAGUUAAGGAUACUAUAGUUAUUACAUUUCACAUUGGAUUUAUUAUUAAAAUGUUUUUUUUUUAUGCUGGUGCUGCUCUGCACACACGAGCUUGUUAGCUAGCUAGCUAGCAGGUGCUUCCAGAAACCCAGCCUAAACAGAAACCGAAGCCCUUCCUCUGUAGGCUUCAUGCCCAGCCCUCUCUUCACCCACAACAUUUCAGUUGCAUGUUGCACCCUACACUACACUUGUCUGUCCAAUGUAUUUAUACUGAACAAAAAUAUAAACGCUACAUUCAACAAUUUUAUCGAUUUUACGGAGUUACAGUUCCACAUGAGGAAAUCAGUCAAUUUAAAUAAAUUCAUUAGGCCCUAAUCUAUGGAUUUCACAUGACUGGGAAUACAGAUAUGCAUCUGUUGGUCACAGAUACCUUAAAAAAAAGGGCCUCACAAUGGGCCUCAGGAACCCGUCACUGUAUUUUUGUGCAUUCAAAUUGCCAUAGAUAAAAUGCAAUUGUGUUCAUUGCCCGUAGUUUAUGCCUGCCCAUACCAUAAUCCCACCGCCACCAUGGGGCACUCUGGCCUUUUAUUGUCCCCAGCACAAGGUGCACCUGUGUAAUGAUAAUGCUGUUUAAUCAGAUUUUUCAUAUGCCACACCUGUCAGGUGAAUGGAUUAUCUUGGCAAAGGAUAAAUGCUCACUAACAGGGAUGGAAACAAAUUUGUGCACAAAAUUUGAGAGAAAUACGUUUUUUUUUGUGAGUAUGGACAUUUUCAGAUAUCUUUUAUUUCAGCUCAUGAAACAUGGGACCAACACUUUACAUGUUGCGUUUUAUAUUUUUGUUCAGUGUACAUUCUGUAGCAGGCCUGCUCCAUAGCAAGCUCCUCUAUCCAUUGGUGAAGUCAUUUAAUGUUGAGCUAAAUUAAAAAAUAAAUGUUGAUUUCAGAGGUUUAAAAAGGAACAGAAAGGAACGAUAUAAAACGUAACUUUUUGAGGGGGGGUUCGAACCGGUUCAGAACUUUAUAUUGCUGGUCGGAACAGUGGGACGGAAUGGAAAACAAAGAAUGGUUCUGUUCAGAACGAACGAUUGGAAAAUUAUUUGGGUUCCAACCCCUGGUAUAAACUGGUACCGCGGUACAGUUGGUAUUAGUGCUGAGCGAUUAGUGCUUUUUGAGGUUGGUUCGGUUAGAUUAUAUGGAGAGAAAAAAAAAUCAGUUUUGGAUUUCCCUUUUGAUAAUCUUUUAUAGACAUUAAAUGCACUAUGGAUUAUUAUUAUUGUGUGUUGAAUGCUGUUAACCAUCAGUUAUUCAUAUUAUUUUACUUUAAUAAAAGAUUUAAAUUGUUCUGUAUAUUACAUUGGUUUUAUUUGAUAACUUUAUUAUUUCAUUCCAAGUCAUCAUCUCAUCUCUAUAGAGCUGUUGUAGCCUGUUGUCUGACAAAAUCACUAUUUUUGUAGCUCUUAAAAGUAAAUAAGGCAUACUUUUAAAAAACAUAAUUCAAUAUAUUGUUUUCCAGUUUCAGGACCUGCUAUGCGCUUGCGCGGCAUUAAAGUAUGUUAUGGGUCUAAUCAUAAAACUACAUAUAGAAUCCCCUUUUAAUUCAAUAGGAUCUCUGUGGGCCUAGUAAAGACUUUUUAUUGUGGCAUAAACACAACCAAUCAUGAUGUUUUUUUCAAUUGGAUUUGUCAAACAGUCACUUCAAAGGACAACUUUACUAGGCUACCCGCGCAAGUUCACCCCCACCCCCCAAACAGGUGAAUGGAAAAAGACUUCUGUUACACAAAACAACACGUCUAAUUUGCCGACUGUAAUUAGGGCAGAGCGCUCUUCUCUGUCGGCCACACAUCUCUGCCUUGGCAAAAUCCCUGUGUUCUUGUCAAACCGCAUUGUAUUUUGGAGUGUAAACUAUGACUACCCGUUUUCAAAUCCAUUUGCUCAUUUUUCAUGCCUCUGAUGUAACGAUAAAUAUUGGUAUGACGUUUUAAUUACUGUGAUAGGCUCAUGUUUUACCGGUACUGCGUACACCCACUAUUUAUUUUGCUGGGACGUCGUACCGGAGCGCCUUACUUUCACCCCUGCUUUUAUAACUACUGAGUAACAACUAUUAAUCACUUAGAUUAUGUAUUUUCAGGUAGAGAUACCUCGCAAAGAAACUGUUUUCUAUCCCCCUCUGUGUCUGCGCCACCACAGACUGGACAAGUAGGCGGGCGCGCAAUGGAUUAUGGUCAUUGUAGUUAAUUACUACGUUCUCUGCACUAAACUAUAGAAUAUUGGCCUGUUGGAAACUACAACUCCCUACUACAGUACAUCGCACAGGUCGGACAUGAGCUGAUUUAUCUCUAGAGAAACUGCAUCGAGUUCACGGGGGGGAAAUGAAGAAAGAAAAAAAAUGGUAUUCAAAUAAUUGAACCGACGUUGGUGAAUUAGUAAAAAAAAGAAUAAUAAUUUAGAUUUUGGUUAAUCGCUCAGCACUUGUGUAUAUACUGUACCACAGUACUGUAGUACACAGUACAGAGAGAAGAGGAUUGGAGGGUCUAGGAUAUAUAUCCAUAACAGGCUACUACUUACUACAUUAUACUUAGAGUUGAUGAUAUUACAAUAUUUAUAUCCCCUUUGUUUUAUAUGAUGUUAAAUAAAUGUUAUUGUUCUUACACAUUGAUGUGUGGGUGUGGUGAUUGAUAAGAGUGGAAUGACUGGAUGCUACUCCAUAUUAUAAACUAGAAAAUAUGUUUUAUUGACAAUGAUCAUAGUAUUUCCCCCAUCCCAAAAUACUUUAUAUUGGCC